GUCUUCGUGAUAUAAUGGUAGCACACUCGACUCAUAUUCGAGAGGUCCAGGUUCGAGUCCCGGCGAGGGCA
rnacentral:tRNA from 1 species